UACGGAGGGUGCAAGCGUUAUCCGGAUUCACUGGGUUUAAAGGGUGCGUAGGUGGGUCUGUAAGUCAGCGGUGAAAGCCCCGAGCUCAACUUGGGAACUGCCAUUGAUACUGCUGAUCUUGAGUAUGGUUGAGGUGGGCGGAAUGUUGCGUGUAGCGGUGAAAUGCUUAGAUAUGCAACAGAACACCGAUUGCGAAGGCAGCUCACUAAACCAUUACUGACACUGAGGCACGAAAGCGUGGGGAGCAAACAGG
rnacentral:rRNA from 1 species